AUGACUUUUCACUUACUGAGAAAUGGCUUUUGUCUCUCUCUCUGCCUCCCUCCCUCACCUGUCUACCCUCCCUCUCUCACCUGUCUCCUGCCUCUCUCUACCUCCCUCCCUCACCUGUCUACCUCCCUCUCUCACCUGUCUCCUGCCUCUCUCUACCUCCCUCCCUCACCUGUCUCCUGCCUCUCUCUACCUCCCUCUCUCACCUCUCCUGCCUCUCUCUACCUCCCUCCCUCCCCCCUCUCCUGCCUCUCUCUACCUCCCUCCCUCACCCGUCUCCUGCCUCUCUCUACCUCCCUCUCUCACCUGUCUCCUGCCUCUCUCUACCUCCCUCCCUCACCCGUCUCCUGCCUCUCUCUACCUCCCUCUCUCACCUGUCUCCUGCCUCUCUCUACUCCUCUACCUCCCUCCCUCACCCGUCUCCUGCCUCUCUACCUCACCUCCCUCCCUCACCUGUCUCCUGCCUCUCUCUACCUCCCUCCCUCACCCGUCUCCUGCCUCUCUCUACCUCCCUCCCUCACCCGUCUCCUGCCUCUCUCUACCCCCCUCUCUCACCUGUUCCCCUCCUUCUCUACUCCCUCUUUCCUCCCCUUUCUGUCUCUCUCUUCCUUUCUGUCUGUCCCUCCUCCCCCUCUGUCCCCCUCUGUCCCCCUCUGUCCCCCCUCUAUGUGUCCCCUUCUCUCCUGUCUCCUGCCUCUCUCUACCUCCCUCCCUCACCUGUCUCCUGCCUCUCUCUACCUCCCUCCCUCACCUGUUCCCCUCCUUCUCUACUCCCUCUUUCCUCCACCUUUCUGUCUCUCUCUUUCUGUCUCUCUCUUUCUUUCUGUCUGUCCCUACUCCCCCUCUGUCCCCCUCUGUCCCCCUCUGUCCCCCCUCUAUGUGUCCCCUUCUCUCCUGUCUCCUGCCUCUCUCUACCUCCCUCCCUCACCCGUCUCCUGCUUCUCUCUACCUCCCUCUCUCACCUGUUCCCCUCCUUCUCUACUCCCUCUUUCCUCCACCUUUCUGUCUCUCUCUUUCUUUCUGUCUGUCCCUACUCCCCCUCUGUCCCCCCUCUAUGUGUCCCCUUCUCUCCUGUAUUCAGACUCCUUCUCCCUCUCCUCCUCUCUCUCUCCCCCACUCUCCUGUCUCUCUUUCCUGUCCCUCCCCAUCUCCCUCUCCCCCAUUUCCCUCAUUUCCCUCUUUCAGCGUCUUUCCUCCUCUCCCUUUGUUGAAGUUAGUUCUUUUGUUCUGGGCUGUGGUUGA
rnacentral:lncRNA from 1 species